rnacentral:rRNA from 1 species
GCGAUAUUCGGGCAAGUGGUGGCGGUAAUACGGGGGGUGCAAGUGUUAUCCGUAGUGAUUGGGUUUAAAGGGUCCGUAGGCGGGCGUAUAAGUCAGUGGUGAAAGCCGGCAGCUUAACUGUCGAACUGCCAGUGAUACUGUAAGUCUUGAGUGUAUUUGAAGUGGCUGGAAUAAGUAGUGUAGCGGUGAAAUGCAUAGAUAUUACUUAGAACACCAAUUGCGAAGGCAGGUCACUAAGAUACAACUGACGCUGAUGGACGAAAGCGUGGGGAGCGAACAGGAUUAGAUACCCGAGUAGUC